rnacentral:rRNA from 1 species
CCUCUGCCUAUGUGGGAGAGCAGNCNCACAAGUGUGAGAUGUAUAAAGUUCACGUNUGUGGAUGCGCUCCCAACGCGACUAUCAGAAAGGACGACCGAUGUCAAGUACGAUUAGCUCCUGAGAGGGGANCGACCCAUNCCNACACCGAGGGGAUCUUGGCACAACAUGCUCCANGAACUUCUUUAACGGAGGAAGAGCAAAGCAAGGUUAGGGCCCAAUCUUUUCGCACCUCAAUGGGGGAGGCGAGAUAAAGCCCGUUGAUUUGCAAGGCUCUAUUGGACANGGCGGUAGAAUGUCGCCAAGGGAAGGCCGCCUCCGGGGGGUUGUAAAAGGCUUCUUUUCUAAUUCGAGAACGGCAGGGAUCACCACCUAAUCAUCACGAUUUCAUGACGGUAUCGAUAGCAGAAGCACCAGGCUAACUACGUGCCAGCAGCCGCGGCAAUACGUAGGGUAGCUAGCGUUGAUCGGAAUUACUGGGCGUAAAGGGUAGCGCAGGCGGUUUGGUCAGUCAGAUGUAGANAUCCCCGGGCUUAACCUGGGCCAUUGCGUAUGAGAACUACCAAGACUAGAGCGUAGCAGAGGGAGGUGGCAUUUCACUGUGUAGCAGUGCAAUGCGUAGAGAUAUGGAAGCACAUCGAUGGCGAAGGCAGCCUCCUGGGUUAACACUGACGCUCAUGCACGUAAAGCGUGGGGAGCUACAACAGGAUUAGAUACCCUGGUAGUCCACGCCCUGAAACUAUGUCAACUAGUUGUUGGGCUUUAAAAAGCUUGGUAACGUAGCUAACGCGUGAAGUUGACCGCCUGGGGAGUACGGUCGCAAGAUUAAAACUCAAAGGAAUUGACGGGGACCCGCACAAGCGGUGGAUUAUGUGGAUUUAUUCGAUGCAACGCGAAAAACCUUACCUACCCUUGACAUGUACCGAAGCCCGCCGAGAGGUGGGUGUGCCCGAAAGGGAGCGGUAACACAGGUGCUGCAUGGCUGUCGUCAGCUCGUGUCGU